CGAAGGGUGCGAGCGUUGUUCGGAAUUAUUGGGCGUAAAGCGCACGUAGGCGGUUGGGUAAGUCUGUCUGUGAAAGCCCGGGGCUCAACCCCGCGGACUGCAGGGGAUACUGCCUGACUGGAGACAAGCAGAGGUUGGUAGAAUUCCGGGUGUAGCGGUGGAAUGCGUAGAGAUCCGGAGGAAUACCAGAGGCGAAGGCGGCCAACUGGGCUUGUUCUGACGCUGAGGUGCGAAAGCGUGGGGAGCGAACAGGAUUAGAUACCCUGGUAGUCCACGCCGUAAACGAUGGGCACUAGAUGCCGGUGGGAACGACCCCUUCGGUGUCGCAGCUAACGCACUAAGUGCCCCGCCUGGGGAGUACGGCCGCAAGGCUG
rnacentral:rRNA from 1 species